rnacentral:rRNA from 1 species
UACAGAGGUGGCAAGCGUUGUUCGGAAUUACUGGGCGUAAAGCGCGCGUAGGCGGUUUUUUUAAGUCAGAGGUGAAAGCCCAGUGCUCAACACUGGAACUGCCUUUGAAACUGGAAAACUUGAAUCUUGGAGAGGUCAGUGGAAUUCCGAGUGUAGAGGUGAAAUUCGUAGAUAUUCGGAAGAACACCAGUGGCGAAGGCGACUGACUGGACAAGUAUUGACGCUGAGGUGCGAAAGCGUGGGGAGCAAACAGG